AUUGAACGCUGGCGGCAUGCCUUACACAUGCAAGUCGAACGGCAGCGGGGGAGAAGCUUGCUUUUCCUGCCGGCGAGUGGCGAACGGGUGAGUAAUACAUCGGAACGUGCCCUGUAGUGGGGGAUAACUAGUCGAAAGAUUAGCUAAUACCGCAUACGACCUGAGGGUGAAAGUGGGGGACCGCAAGGCCUCAUGCUAUAGGAGCGGCCGAUGUCUGAUUAGCUAGUUGGUGGGGUAAAGGCCUACCAAGGCGACUAUCAGUAGCUGGUCUGAGAGGACGAUCAGCCACACUGGGAAGUAGACACGGCCCAGACUCCUACGGGAGGCAGCAGUGGGGAAUUUUGGACAAUGGGCGAAAGCCUGAUCCAGCAAUGCCGCGUGUGUGAAGAAGGCCUUCGGGUUGUAAAGCACUUUUGUCCGGAAAGAAAUGGCUCUGGUUAAUACCUGGGGUCGAUGACGGUACCGGAAGAAUAAGGACCGGCUAACUACGUGCCAGCCGCCGCCGUAACAC
rnacentral:rRNA from 1 species